rnacentral:tRNA from 1 species
UAUUAGCUCAGGUGGUUAGAGCGCACCCCUGAUAAGGGUGAGGUCCCUGGUUCGAGUCCAGGAUGGCCCACCUGAAGCAAGUCAAAAGUUAAAAGACAAAAGUCAAAAGUAGUUAUUUACGGGGGUUUAGCUCAGUUGGUAGAGCGCCUGCUUUGCAAGCAGGAUGUCAGCGGUUGAGUCCGCUAACCUCCACAUUGGAAGUCGUUGUACUGUCCUUCAGUCUGACGACCCACUUUUGGUCGGUCUUGGAACUUUUGACGUAUCAUUGCGCUUUUUUCGUCCGACUGUUUUGAGUACUGAGGAAAGAGUACCGAGUAAUGGGUGAAGAACUCAUUGCCGAGUAGGAAAGAAACAGGAAAGCAGAAAAGUUUGCAAGUCGAACAAAAUGUAUUGAAGUGGUCAAGCUAAUAAGGGCUAAUGGU